CUAGGGACUUCCUGUGAGGAGGGUUAGAGGCAGUUGGAGGUUGAAGCUUGGUUUUGGAGGUGUCCCGAGGACUGCUUUCCUUCAGAAUGGUCAUCAUGACUUCACUUUUGGCUCUCAAAGGAACAUGAGGAACAGAAAAAACUAAUUACCACACUGCCAAAAGCAGGCUCUUUUAAGUGCCUACACUCUACUCACCUACCAGGAAUCAGUGGCACUUGGCAUCAGGGAAUGCAUUCCACUUCAGACACAGGUACUUGCAAUAUUAGGCUGGGCCAGGUAUAAUU
rnacentral:lncRNA from 1 species